GAAAGGGGCUGACCUCUGCUCUGCUGCUGGGAGAACACGGAUUUAACCAGCCUUCUCUCUAAGCUGCUGGUAGCAAUCCCAGCCUGGCUUAGCUCACAGCUUCUACUGGAAACCAGCUCUCUGAUGUGUUUCUUCUUAACAGCUGAAUGAAGUCUGGUCAGCAAUUCUCAAAAUCAUCCACAUGGCACCAAGGGCCACACUUGAGAAAAUCUUUAUAGUGACCACGUGAUAUGAAAAUGGUGGUUACACAUAUAUGGAAACAAAAUAUUUUACAUUUUCAUUCCUGAUCUCAGAGACGUGAGAACAUUCUAUACAAAUUUGUCCUACACAGAACCAUUUGCAGAGGGGAAGCUUGUACCCCUACUUACUUCAUCAUUUCUGGGAAUAUGCAUUCAUGUCUAGUGGAAACAGAAACACCUUUCACUCAGCUACAGGACAAUCAGGAAAGAAAAUAAAAU
rnacentral:lncRNA from 1 species